rnacentral:lncRNA from 1 species
CCCCUCCUCGGGGCGCUGGACUUUUUCGACUUUUCCUUUAAAAAGAAAAAAAAAGUUUUUCAAGCUGUGGGUUCCAAGAAGAGGCAGGAGGAGGGGAAGGGGGGGGGUGACAGAAAAGCCGCCCGGUCGGUUAUGAGUCACAAGUGGGUUAUAAAAGGGUCGCACGACCGUAGGCGCGGGCUUCCUGUGCUCGGCCAAGCCGGAGCGAACGUCACCAGCCACCGCGGGAUUGUCGCCAGCCCCGGGUCGGGACGGGGCGGCAGGAAGCAAGCGCGAAGGUCGGCUUGAGAGGAAAGAAGCGGCCAGAGCCCGGAGGCAAAGUAAAAGCCUCAAAACGCCAUGUUCUCUUGCUGGGAAGGCUGGCGUCGCUCUGCUUACGGAUGGAGGAACACAGGUGGCGCAAAUCAGGAAGGGGAAAUCUGUGGUUUAAAUUCUUUACGCCUCAUCCUGUGAGUGCUGGAGGCUUGCUGGAGGCUGUAUGCUGUUAAUGCUAAUCGUGAUAGGGGUUCUUACCUCUGACUGACUCCUACAUGUUAGCAUUAACAGGGUAUGAUGCCUGUUACUAGCAUUCACAUGGAACAACUUACUGUCGUGGGAGGAUGACAAAGAAGCAUGAGUCACUCUGCUGGAUAACUUAGACUUCAGGCUUUAUCGUGUUUAAAUUUGUUAAUCUGGUACUGGGAUGUUCCACUUUAAGUGUUAAGAAUAAGGUCAUUUAAAGGAUUUAUCAGCCGUAUCACAAACACAUACAUUUUUACUUUCAUCUUCAAGCCCACACACUGAUAUUUCUCUUUAAAAGAAAAUAUAUUGGCAUUGGUUUAAAUUCAAAUGGUUUGUUCGUUACAGUAUAACUGUUCAUAAGCAUUUUUGAUGGUUCACCUAGAAUACAUGCUAAGUACACUAUAAAACAAAUUUCCAUAAUAUCUUUAUAGUUAAAAGUCAGACUACCAUUCUCCAGUUAUAUUACGUAUUAUCUGUAAACAUUUUUUAAAAGAUUUAGAAAUUGGCAUUUUUCCCCAAGUAACAAUUUUCUAUUCAGACAUCUUCAAUUUAAAGUUAAUACUUUUAUUUGAAUCAUAAGAGGGAAUGACGCUAUGUUUACAAUGAAAUAGUAUUAAUAAUUUGCAUGGCAAAUAACAUCCAAAAGCUAUCCGCCGGCCAUACACAGCACAAAGAUUUAAUUUUUUAUAAUUCAUAUUUCAAAUGAAGUCCCAAAUCUAGGCUCAAGUUCAGUAGCUAAGCCACAUAAUAAUGUAGUGAAGUCCAAGAAUCCACCUUUCCUCUCUAAGCCUGUUUCUUCAUCCAUAAAAUGGGAAUAAAACUCUACAAUGUUGGUGUGAGGCUUACAUGAGCUACAGAACUAUUUUGUAAGAUAAUAAAAUGCUACAUUAAAGUUGUACUAAAAUUAACCCAAGAAUGAGUUCCCCUACUUUAUUAGAUGAAAGCCAGUGAUUUGACUUAUGGAAUUUUUAAGGUUUGGAUUUGCACCAUUCUUCAUAACUAAUUAUGUGACUUACCCAUGCAUAGCCAAUAGUACUUAUUAGCAUAUUUAAUGUAUAUUUGUUUGAACGAAUUCAACAUUUUGUCAAAUAAUUCACUGUAACCAAAUAAACUGCAUGACUCUUUAGUUGAUUUAAAAUAAUAUUUUAUAGCCUUUUUUGUAAUUGCAAUGUAAUUACAAUUACAAAUUGUAACUUCAGAAGAUAUUUACACAGAAGACAAUGGGGAAAAAUACUAAGGAUACUAAGGGGAAUGUUCCUGACUGCUAGAACACAGUAUUCUCAUAUAAGGGCACCUCUUGGCCUCACUCCUUUCUGUGGAAGUGCGUGCUGCCAAGAUAAAUUUCUCCUCUUAACCCCUACGAUGACUUGUGGCUCCGUGGGGCUCCCACGUAGAUCUGUCACAUCCGAUGGUGUUUUCCCAGAUGGUUCAUUUUAUCUGCCACAUCUUCAAAAGGAGUGCAUGCUUUGAGACCCAAUUCUUCAAAAUCUUACCUGCUGUCUACAGCCACAAGGUCACAGAAUGUUAGGACUGGGAUGGACUAUUCUGGUGUUACCUUCCUAAUGUUAUAAUAAAGAAGUUUAAACAUCACAAAGACACCACAAGAAAAACUGUGCUGUGAAAGGCUGUGUGUGAAAAGCACUGGACUUACACCUCAUGAACCUCAGGGAAGUUACUUGAUCUCUCAGCCUCAGUUUUCUCAUCGGUAAAAUUAUAUACAUAUACACCUUAAAUGGGAUACUGCAUGUUAAGACCACAAUGUAUUUUGUAUUAAAGGUUAAAGACAAUUAAAAGCAAACUUUAAAACUUUUACAUUCAGUCAUCUAACUCAGACUAUUUACCAUAGGAGGUAUACACAAGGGCCCUCUAGAUCCAGCCUUGCCAGCAACCCAGAGAAUCUAAGUAGUGUAAGGAUUUUUCUCUGAUGCCCAGCUCUCCUAAGCUUUUGUUUGUUAUCUCCUAGUCUUAGAUGGAUUCCUCCUGACCAACAUAUCCAGUCAUUUCAAAAAUUCUUGGAGCAUGAGUAAGACUGGGGUCUCAUUAUGUUAUUCGGGCUGGCCUGGGCCUCACUGUGUAAUCCAGGCAGUUCUGCCUUAGCGUACUG